rnacentral:misc_RNA from 1 species
UCGUAUAACGGAGGUGCCGGGGCUGUCGCUAGAUUUGUGCACGCCCCGGUGCUCUCUCACAAUCCAUCUCACCCCCAUUUGUGCAUCACCGCGUGGGUGCUUCUCCUUUCUGAAAGGGGGGCAUUUGCGCUUUUAUACAGACCCACCGCAUGUGUAGAAUGUCUUACUAUUUGCGAUAAUACGCAAUCAAUA